ACGUAGGGCGCAAGCGUUGUCCGGAAUUAUUGGGCGUAAAGAGCUCGUAGGCGGUUUGUCGCGUCGGUUGUGAAAGCCCACAGCUUAACUGUGGGUCUGCAUCCGAUACGGGCAGACUAGAGGCAGGUAGGGGAGCAUGGAAUUCCCGGUGUAGCGGUGAAAUGCGCAGAUAUCGGGAGGAACACCGGUGGCGAAGGCGGUGCUCUGGGCCUGUACUGACGCUGAGGAGCGAAAGCUAGGGGAGCGAACGGGA
rnacentral:rRNA from 1 species